rnacentral:rRNA from 1 species
UGAGGAAUAUUGGUCAAUGGACGCAAGUCUGAACCAGCCAUGCCGCGUGAAGGAUGAAGGCCUUCUGGGUUGUAAACUUCUUUUAUCAGGGAAGAAAAUUACGGUUUCUACUGUAACCGACGGUACCUGAGGAAUAAGCACCGGCUAACUCCGUGCCAGCAGCCGCGGUAAUACGGAGGGUGCAAGCGUUAUCCGGAUUCACUGGGUUUAAAGGGUGUGUAGGCGGAUAUUUAAGUCAGUGGUGAAAUCUCCGGGCUCAACCCGGAAACUGCCAUUGAUACUAUUUAUCUUGAAUACUGUUGAGGUAGGCGGAAUAUAUCAUGUAGCGGUGAAAUGCUUAGAUAUGAUAUAGAACACCGAUUGCGAAGGCAGCUUACUAAGCAGUUAUUGACGCUGAGGCACGAAAGCGUGGGGAUCAAACA